UACGUAGGGGGCUAGCGUUGUCCGGAUUUAUUGGGCGUAAAGAGCGUGUAGGCGGCCAGGUAGGUCUGGUGUGAAAACUCGAGGCUUAACCUCGAGAUGUCAUCGGAAACCAUUUGGCUAGAGUCCGGAAGAGGAGAGUGGAAUUCCUGGUGUAGCGGUGAAAUGACGCAGAUAUCAGGAAGAACACCCGUGGCGAAGGCGGCCUCCUGGUGGAACGU
rnacentral:rRNA from 1 species